CAACCUGGUUGAUCCUGCCAGUUCAUAUAUGCUUGUCUUAAAGAUUAAGCCAUGCAUGUCCAAGUACAAACAAAUUUGUAUUGUGAAACUGCGAAUGGCUCAUUAUAUCAGUUAUAAUUCACUCAGCACUCACUUUCUACAUGGAUAACCGUGGGAAACCAGAGCUAAUACAUGCGCAAAGGGGCAGCAAUGC
rnacentral:rRNA from 1 species